AAACUCUUCUUUUAUUUUCUUUUCGUAUAAAUAUUUUGCCUUUUACUACAGAUUUCUGUGGAGAGGAGCAUUUAUGAGUUUGUACUCAAUUUUUUUGAGGCUUUGUUUGGCAAGGGUA